GCCAUGCAUGUCUAAGUAUAAACGAUUUAAUCGUGAAACCGCGAAUGGCUCAUUAUAACAGCUAUAAUUUACUUGAUCUUGACACAAUCCUACUUGGAUAACUGUGGUAAUUCUAGAGCUAAUACAUGCAUUAAAGCUCUGACCUCACGGGAAGAGUGCAUUUAUUAGAACAAAACCAAGCGGCUUCGGCUGUUUCUGGUUGACUCAUAGUAACUGAGCUGAUCGCAUGGUCUUGCACCGGCGACGUGUCUUUCAAGUAUCUGCCGUAUCAACUUUCGAUGGUAGUGUAUCUGACUACCAUGGUGAUCACGCGUAACGGAGAAUAAGGGUUCGGCUCCGGAGAGUUCGCCUGAGAAAUCGCGAACACAUCUAAGGAAGGCAGCAGGCGCGAAAAUUACCCACUCUCAGCACGAGGAGGUAGUGACGAAAAAUAACGAGACCGUUCUCUUAUGAGGCCGGUCAUCGGAAUGGGUACAAUUUAAACCCUUA
rnacentral:rRNA from 1 species